rnacentral:misc_RNA from 1 species
AAGUCGUAACAAGGUUUCCGUAGGUGAACCUGCGGAAGGAUCAUUAUUACGUAUCCACGUAUCAAACCAAAUCGUGAACUGUUUCCCGUCUGAUGAGGAUUUCUGCGAGUGUUUGAACAUUUAUUAAAUGCAUGGUGAGGACUCCUAGUCGCAAGACUGGUUUCUUCGAAAUGGCACUCGGUCCUGGUUGCCCUCUCGGGGCUUCAGCCAGCUCAUUAGAUGUGGUUGAAUUUCAAUCACUAUGCUAAAACUAUUAACCCCUUGUAAAACACUUGAACUAAAUUACGGAGACAAGACCCUUAACCAGGAAACUAUCUCUGAUAAACCGAAACUUAAGAAACAACUCUCAACAACGGAUAUCUUGGUUCUC